UUUAAGGCAUCAUGAGGCCAUUGCAUUGUGCUGUACUCCGUUUUAUUUCACUUUUUAUUGCAACGGUGAAAGACAAAAUGGAGCCCAAAAAUCACUGAAAUGGUGUCCUAUUUUGAACGUUUUUCGAUUAAAUAAUUAUCCAUAUA